CAGUGAGUGCUGGGCGGCGGUGGUCGUGGCGGCGAGUCGCGACGGCGGUGGCAGGGCACGGCGAUGGUGAAGAGAGAAAGAGGCCAGGUCCGAUUUGGGGGAAAUUUUGAAGUGUUAGCGUGAAAAUUGAGCGGGAGCAGUGAAUAAGGAUUUUUGGCGUUGAAGAAAUGAAGUCAAAUCUUUUUCUUUCUUUUGUUUUUUCUUUUGUUUCACUUUUAUUAUUUAAUUUUUGGUAUUUAGGUUUCUAAUAAUGUAUUUAGAUUUUAUUAUUUUUUAAAAUCUAUAUCUAGGAAUAAAUUCAAAUUUUAGGAUAAACAAUUUAUUUGUUAUUUUUUAAUAUAAUAUAAUAUAAUAUAAUAUAAUAUUAUUUUAAAACAAUUAAUGAAAAAAUUAUACAUAACAGUUUUUAGAGACGCUCAUACAUAACGGUUCAAAAACCGUUGUAAAUGACUCUUAUACAU
rnacentral:lncRNA from 1 species